UACGUAGGUCCCGAGCGUUAUCCGGAUUUAUUGGGCGUAAAGCGAGCGCAGGCGGUUAGAUAAGUCUGAAGUUAAAGGCUGUGGCUUAACCAUAGUACGCUUUGGAAACUGUUUAACUUGAGUGCAGAAGGGGAGAGUGGAAUUCCAUGUGUAGCGGUGAAACGCGUAGAUAUAUGGAGGAACACCGGUGGCGAAAGCGGCUCUCUNGGUCUGUAACUGACGCUGAGGCUCGAAAGCGUGGGGAGCAAACAGGAUUA
rnacentral:rRNA from 1 species